rnacentral:tRNA from 1 species
AGAACUUUAUCUUAAUUGAAAGGGUCUGAGUUGCAUUCAGAAGAUGUAAGUUAAUAUCUUGCAAGUUCUA